CCAUAUCAAUAAGCGGAGGAAAAGAAACCAACAGGGAUUGCCCUAGUAACGGCGAGUGAAGCGGCAACAGCUCAAAUUUGAAAUCUGGCUUCGGCCCGAGUUGUAAUUUGCAGAGGAAGCUUUAGGCGCGGCACCUACUGAGUCCCCUGGAACGGGGCGCCAUAGAGGGUGAGAGCCCCGUAUAGUUGGACGCCUAGCCUGUGUAAAGCUCCUUCGACGAGUCGAGUAGUUUGGGAAUGCUGCUCAAAAUGGGAGGUAAAUUUCUUCUAAAGCUAAAUACCGGCCAGAGACCGAUAGCGCACAAGUAGAGUGAUCGAAAGAUGAAAAGCACUUUGAAAAGAGGGUUAAAUAGCACGUGAAAUUGUUGAAAGGGAAGCGCUUGUGACCAGACUUGCGCCGGGCGGAUCAUCCGGUGUUCUCACCGGUGCACUCCGCCCGGCUCAGGCCAGCAUCGGUUCUCGCGGGGGGAUAAAGGCCUCGGGAACGUAGCUCCUCCGGGAGUGUUAUAGCCCGGGGCGCAAUGCCCUCGCGGGGACCGAGGUUCGCGCAUCUGCAAGGAUGCUGGCGUAAUGGUCAUCAGCGACCCGUCUUGAAACACGGACCAAGGAGUCAAGGUUUUGCGCGAGUGUUUGGGUGUCAAACCCGCACGCGUAAUGAAAGUGAACGUAGGUGAGAGCUUCGGCGCAUCAUCGACCGAUCCUGAUGUUUUCGGAUGGAUUUGAGUAGGAGCGUUAAGCCUUGGACCCGAAAGAUGGUGAACUAUGCUUGGAUAGGGUGAAGCCAGAGGAAACUCUGGUGGAGGCUCGCAGCGGUUCUGACGUGCAAAUCGAUCGUCAAAUCUGAGCAUGGGGGCGAAAGACUAAUCGAACCAUCUAGUAGCUGGUUACCGCCGAAGUU
rnacentral:rRNA from 1 species